UGGGGAAUUUUGGACAAUGGGCGAAAGCCUGAUCCAGCAAUGCCGCGUGUGUGAAGAAGGCCUUCGGGUUGUAAAGCACUUUUGUCCGGAAAGAAAUCCUUGGCUCUAAUACAGUCGGGGGAUGACGGUACCGGAAGAAUAAGCACCGGCUAACUACGUGCCAGCAGCCGCGGUAAUACGUAGGGUGCAAGCGUUAAUCGGAAUUACUGGGCGUAAAGCGUGCGCAGGCGGUUUGCUAAGACCGAUGUGAAAUCCCCGGGCUCAACCUGGGAACUGCAUUGGUGACUGGCAGGCUAGAGUAUGGCAGAGGGGGGUAGAAUUCCACGUGUAGCAGUGAAAUGCGUAGAGAUGUGGAGGAAUACCGAUGGCGAAGGCACCCCCUGGGCCAAUACUGACGCUCAUGCACGAAAGCGUGGGGAGCAAACAGGAUUAGAUACCCUGGUAGUCCACGCCCUAAACGAUGUCAACUAGUUGUUGGGGAUUCAUUUCCUUAGUAACGUAGCUAACGCGUGAAGUUGACCGCCUGGGGAGUACGGUCGCAAGAUUAAAACUCAAAUGAAUUGACGGGGUCAUAGCUGUUUCCU
rnacentral:rRNA from 1 species